ACACGCCAGUUAUAGGACACCAAAAGAGCAGCCAUGGCUGAAGACAGCACCGACGAAUGCACGCCUCUUGACUUAAGCAUGAAGGACAAAACAACACCAAGUACAAGCCGUGACGGUGCCCAGGAGGCUUCAUCUACUUUGGGCGCAUACACAACGAUUUCUGAUGACACCUUGCAGCGCAUGCCGAUGACCGACGAGACUUGCAACGUCGACGAUGCCACUGACAAUGGCAGCACAAGUUGCCUGCCCCUGGGGCCCACCAGGAACAUCGAUAACGUAAGGCCCAGCAGAAGCCACGCUGGCAUGGAGGAAGCAUCAGCCAGUUUUGAAGACGGUGCCACGAAUGCUACUGGAACCGGAGGAAUGGAAGAGCAAGGCUUCUGCGCUGUCAGAGCAAGUGUUCAAUCGUCUGCAAAGAAGUCGAAACACAAAUGUCAAACAUGUGGUAAAUUUUUUA